rnacentral:rRNA from 1 species
GAGGAAUAUUGCACAAUCGACGCAAGUCGGAUGCAGCAACGCCGCGUGGACGAUGAAGGCCUUCGGGUUGUAAAGUCCUUUUAAGAGGGACGAGGAAGGACGGUACCUCUUGAAUAAGUCUCGGCUAACUACGUGCCAGCAGCCGCGGUAACACGUAAGAGGCGAGCGUUAUCCGGAUUUAUUGGGCGUAAAGCGCAUGCAGGUGGCUAGGUAAGUCGGGUGUGAAAGCCCCGGACUUAAUCCGGGGAGGUCAUUCGAUACUGCUUGGCUUGAGAGCGGGAGAGGGAAGUGGAAUUCUCGGUGUAGUGGUGAUAUGCGUAGAUAUCGAGAGGAACACCAGUGGCGAAGGCGGCUUCCUGGCCCGUAUCUGACACUAAGAUGCGAAAGCGUGGGUAGCAAACGGACUUAGAUACUCCGGUAGUCCACGCUGUAAACGAUGGGUACUAGGUGUAGGGGGUGUAAAACUCUCUGUGCCAUAGUUAACGCACUAAGUACCCCGCCUGGGGACUACGGUCGCAAGGCUAAAACUCAAAGGAAUUGACGGGGGCCCGCACAAGCAGCGGAGCGUGUGGUUCAAUUCGAAGAUACACGAAGAACCUUACCUGGGCUUGACAUGUUGGUAGUAGUGAAGCGAAAGCGGAACGAUCCUUCGGGAAGCCAUCACAGGUGCUGCAUGGCUGUCGUCAGCUCGUGCCGUGAGGUGUUGGGUUAAGUCCUGUAACGAGCGCAACCCUCGCUGCCAGUUACAAGUGUCUGGCGGGACUGCCGGUGACAAACCGGAGGAAGGUGGGGAUGACGUCAAGUCAGCAUGGCCUUUAUGUCCAGGGCUACACACACGCUACAAUGGCCGGUACAAUAGGUUGCCAAGUCGUGAGGCGGAGCUAAUCCUCAAAACCGGUCUCAGUUCGAAUUGCAGGCUGCAACCCGCCUGCAUGAAGUUGGAGUUGCU